rnacentral:rRNA from 1 species
GAUGAACGCUAGCGGGAGGCUUAACACAUGCAAGUCGAACGGUAACAGAAAGAGCUUGCUCUUUGCUGACGAGUGGCGCACGGGUGCGUAACACGUAUACAAUCUACCUCUUACUAAGGGAUAGCCCAGAGAAAUUUGGAUUAAUACCUUAUAGUAUUAAGUUUUCGCAUGAUUACUUAAUUAAAACUCCGGUGGUAUGAGAUGAGUAUGCGGUCUAUUAGUUUGUUGGUGAGGUAAUGGCUCACCAAGACUACGAUAGAUAGGGGUUCUGAGAGGAUUGUCCCCCACACUGGUACUGAGACACGGACCAGACUCCUACGGGAGGCAGCAGUGAGGAAUAUUGGUCAAUGGACGAAAGUCUGAACCAGCCAUCCCGCGUGCAGGAAGACGGCCUUAUGGGUUGUAAACUGCUUUUAUAUAGGAAGAAAAGCUUCUACGUGUAGAAGUCUGACGGUACUAUAUGAAUAAGCACCGGCUAACUCCG